rnacentral:rRNA from 1 species
GACGAACCGUGCGAACGUUGUUCGGAAUCACUGGGCUUAAAGGGCGCGUAGGCGGGCCGCCAAGUCUGGAGUGAAAGCCCCACGGCUCAACCGUGGAAGCGCUUCGGAUACUGGCGGCCUCGAGGGGUGCAGGGGCGUGCGGAACUUCCGGUGGAGCGGUGAAAUGCGUAGAUAUCGGAAGGAACACCGGUGGCGAAAGCGGCGCGCUGGCACCUACUGACGCU